rnacentral:lncRNA from 10 species
UGCCACCAUGCCCGGCUAAUUUUUGUAGUUUUAGUAGAGACGGGGUUUCACCAUAUUGGUCAGGCUGGUCUCGAACUCCUGACGUUGUGAUCUGCCUGCCUCGGCUUCCCAAAGUGCUGGAAUUAUAGCCGUGAGCCACUGCACCUGGCCGGUAUUUUCUUUUUAAAAAAGUAUACAAGCAGCCCAUGAUUAUAUGCUUGAGAUAAAAUAGUACAGAAGUAGUAGUUCUAAAUAAUGUCAAAAGUGAAUAUAUUUCCUUUAGUCUCUUCUGAUACUCUCCUCCCCAGACGUAAUCAAAGUUAAUGUUUUAAUGUAUAUCCAGACCUCUUCCUUUACAGUUACAAAUGCAUAUUUAUAUUUAUGUCUAUGUCUAUCUGUGUUUUUUUUUUUUUUUUUUUUGAGACAGGGUCUCACGCCCAUGGCCCAGGCUAAAGUGCAGUGGUGCGAUCUCAGCUCACACAGCCUCGGCUUCCUGGGCUCCGGUGAUUCUCCCACCUCAGCCUCCUGAGUAGCUGGGACUACUGGCAUGCACCACCACGCCCAGCUAAUUUUCGUAUUUUUAGUAGAGACGGGGUUUUGCCAUGUUUCCCAGGCUGGUCUCGAACUCCUGGGCUCAAGCAAUUUGCUCACCUUGGCCUCCCAAAGUGCUGGGAUUACAGGCAUGAACCACCACACUCGGCCCACAUCUAAAUAUUUAUAUACUUUUUAUUUUAAAUAAAUGGGAUUCGCGGCUGGAUGCAGUGAGCUGUGAUUGUGCCACUGCACUGCAGCCUGGGUGACAAGAGUGAGACCCUGUCUUAAAUAAAUAAAUACACAAAUAUGACUCUGUGCCUUGCUUUUUGCCCUACUUAAUAUAUGUUUGAGAUCUUUCCAUACUAAUAUAUAUGUCUCAUUUUUUAAAACAGCUCUAUGUAACGUGAAUGGAUACAAAUGUAAUUUAUUGUAAUUUGUCAAUAUUACAAAUCUCUGUGCAUGCAGGUAGGGUAAAUUCCUAGAUGUGGAAUUGCAGGUGAAGAGGUUACAUUUGCCAUCAUCCCUAGAAAGAGAAAAGCCAUGGUCCAGGUAACUAGUCUUGGUGCUAUGAGAACAAACCUUCCGUAAAUAAGUAUAUGGGAAAUGACCACAUGCUAAACCACCCUCUUGGCCAUUCACAAUCAAGUAGCAUAUUAAAAGUUCUGGAAAUUCUUCAGUAACCACUCUGUUGAGUGGUUUAAAAAGAGUUGUUUGUAAAAGGAAAGACUUUAAUUCUUUGUACACAUUUAUUAAAAUCUCCCUGAACAGUUAGUUAAAUGCCACCAUAUACUAAUCUCUCAAAGACAGUACAGCAUUUGGGUAGGAAUUUGGCCACACACUAUGCCACCCAAUUGGGCAGCUGGGGUGGGGUCAGGUUUGGACUUUGUCCAGGAACCAAGAGAUGCCUGUCUUGGUGGCUUUGGUGAGAGGGACUCAGCAAGCAAGGCCUGGCAAGAACGUCAAGAGGCUCUGGGGGACGGUUGCAAUUUUACUCUAGCCUGGCUGAGAGGUGAUGUCAGACCUAGCAGACACACUGCAUCAAUCAGGCCCAGGCCUCCAACACAGAACAGUGCAGAUCUAGAAUCCCUAGAGAAGGAGCCCCUCAGGGUGGAAGACGGUAGACCACAUCCCCCUGUUGACCCACUUCUGGCUAAUUGGUGAGGUCAUGGCUAACUUCCAAAGCUCAGUGCAGAUAUUGCCUCUGAAAACUUCCGAAGCCCUCAAGCUUUUACAGCCAGGUCAGAAUAAACCACUCCUGUGUGUUCUCCUAGCACCUUUGCUGCAUCUCUUAGUGCAGUCAGUGAAUCUAGUUUGUCUUCCAGUUCAUACUAACCUACCUUGUGAAAAGGAAGGGUCACAUAAUGAAUUGUGUACUUUACAGUCUUCUCUAACAAAAGUGGGAGCUCUUCCAUAGUGGGAUACUGUUCAGGCUCUCAUUCAAUCAUUACUGAGCACCUACCACGUGUCAGGCAUUAGCUGAACUGCUGGGAAUUCAGGGGUGAGGCAGACCCAAUCCCUGCCCUCACUCUUACAUCUCCUGUAGCCUAGCCCAAUGUCUAGCCCAGGGCCUGGCACAGUAGGGCUUACGGAUGGCAAUCUCAUUGGAAAGUUUGUCUUGAAACUGCCUUUGCAAAACAAACACUGCUUUAACUUACCUUCUAUGCUAAAUAUAUUAAUAAACAUUUUCUCAAGAUGCAUUGUCCA